GGAAGUAAAAGGCGUAACAAGGUUUCCGUAGGUGAACCUGCGGAAGGAUCAUUAUUGUAUAACCGAGGUGCGAGGGCUGUCGCUGACCCGAAAGGUCGUGCACGCCCGAGUGCCCUCACACACAUCCAUCUCACCCCUAUGUGCACCACCGCGUGGGUCCCCCUUUGGCUUGUUCGGAGGGGGGCUUACGUUUUCACACAAACUUUGUAUGCAGUGUAGAAUGUAUUUUUUGUUUUUGCGAUCACGCAAUCAAUACAACUUUCAACAACGGAUCUCUUGGCUCUC
rnacentral:misc_RNA from 1 species